rnacentral:rRNA from 1 species
UACGGAGGGGGCUAGCGUUGUUCGGAAUUACUGGGCGUAAAGCGCACGUAGGCGGCUUCUUAAGUCGGUGGUGAAAUCCUGGAGCUCAACUCCAGAACUGCCUUCGAUACUGGGAAGCUCGAGUCCGGGAGAGGUGAGUGGAACUGCGAGUGUAGAGGUGAAAUUCGUAGAUAUUCGCAAGAACACCAGUGGCGAAGGCGGCUCACUGGCCCGGUACUGACGCUGAGGAACGAAAGCCAGGGGAGCGAACGGG